UCCGAUAUGGUGUAGUGGCUAACAUUAUCGCCUCUCAUUAUUGCAGAAGGAAGCGAAUGUGAAAGCGCGAUAGCCCGGGGUUCGAUUCCCCGUGUCGGAA